CCACACCGCAUGUAUUCUUGGGUUCAUCUGCUUAUUCGUGGCUCCAGGUGUUGAUAACUUACACAACUGGGUACUCUCCUCCUGAAGUAUCAGCCUCGAGCCAUUUGUGGUCCCGUCUCACCAAGACACUAGCAUCUGAGCCCCAGCCAUCGGCGAGUUAGAUGUGGCCAUGUGAGUAUGUGGCCAGUGGAAUGUGACCACAAGCGACUCUACUAAAGCAACGAAAAGCCGGUGCAUGACGCUCCAGGCUUUCUUCUGCUGUGUUGGCCAAGACAGCCCUGGGAUCCACAAAGUGCAGUCACAACACGGCAGUGCCUCCAUCACCCGGGUGACCACAUGGAGCGGAGGCGUGAUUGAUAUGCUUCCAAGGCGAGAGCUAAACCCUUCAUGUGUUAAGCCACUGCGAUCCUGGUGAGCGAGACACAAAGCAGGGAUGUGACCGUCUCCUUCAUAGGCUGUUGUGACAAUGAAACGAUAUUAUAUUACUUGA